UACAGAGGUCUCAAGCGUUGUUCGGAUUCAUUGGGCGUAAAGGGUGUGUAGGUGGCGCCGUAAGUCGGGUGUGAAAUUUCGGAGCUUAACUCCGAAAACUGCAUUCGAUACUGCGGUGCUUGAGGGACUGGAGAGGAGACUGGAAUUCAUGGUGUAGCAGUGAAAUGCGUAGAGAUCAUGAGGAAGACCAGUGGCGAAGGCGGGUCUCUGGACAGUUCCUGACACUGAGACACGAAGGCCAGGGGGAGCAAACGGG
rnacentral:rRNA from 1 species